rnacentral:lncRNA from 1 species
GAGGGGUUGGCGCACCCACGUGGUGCUGGGUGAGGUGCAUGUUGUGGUUCUGCUCCUGACACAGCUCUUUUGCCAUGCAGGAAGCCUCUGAGGAAGGCUGCCUUUCUAAAGAUUAGAUCCAAGUUGAUGGAAGUAAUCCCAGCUGACUUGGGCAGCGCUAGGUCAGACCAUAAACCAGGUGCUGGUAUGCUUGCUUAGUACCUCUGGAAUACUCAAAGAUGUUUGUGUGUGUAGUCUAUCCUUCAUGGAAAUGAACUGCAGGCUGUGGUGAAUGUUAAAAUAGCUUCUUAGAUCUCUGCACAGAAUGAAAUGUUGCCCUGCAGCUAACUGAAAAACAUGGCUUCAAUGUGAGAAGUAACUGAAGCACACAUUGGCAGUGGGUGGCAGAAGGGCCCAAGGUUUCAAAAGCAAACUGCAUGGGACCGCUGAAGAAACAGUCCAUUGAAAACCCACCUCAUGUAAGUUUUAGGCAAAGGUGGUCUCCAGCCCUUUCAAGCAGAAUUUCAAGUUGCUGAGCUCAUCCUCCAGCACCACUUGGUACUACUCAGGGUAGCACUUCCAUUGCCAGGAUCCAGCUCAGUAGAACAGUCCAUCUUUGCUCUCAUCAUUUGGCCCAAGCACACCUCAGCACCCAGCAAGUUCCCUCAUUCCUACUGAAGAGAUGGGAAUCCAGUGUUCAUCCUGAGUACCCUGCUACACCUUCUGCUUCCGUUUCCAUUUGCAAGAAGUGUUUGCUGCUUCUGUGGAAUUUAUUAAAGAUUUCUUUAAUAAAACUACUGUUG